AGAUAACGUUAAUAUUGCAAUGCAACCGAACAUGGCGCAGCAACAAAACCAAAUGAUGAUGCCACAGGGGGUUAUGGUUCCACAAGGCCUACCCCCGGGAUUAGCUUACCUUGGUGCUUUGGAUGAGGUUCGGAUCCAUCAGCAUUUGGAUGUACUUGAAGUGAUGGUUGGUUGGGAGAGAAACAACAAAUACAGAUUAUGUAAUAACCAGGAACAACAGUUCAUGUACGCCAAAGAAGAUACAGACUGUUGUACGCGACAGUUCUGUGGACCAGCCAGACCCUUCGUCAUGGACAUCAUGGACAACAACAUGCAGCCCUUGAUCCGCGUCGAUCGUCCAUUCAGGUGCCAAGCCUCCUUCAUGUGUGCUGCUUCUGCCUACCUUGCAGGGACAUUAUCUUCAAGGUGACUGAUCCAAAGGAACAGGAAAUAGGAGAAAUCAUCAAACACUGGGGAGGGUGCAGGGAAAUCCUGGGAGCCGUCAACGACUUCAAAGUCACUUUUCCUGCUCAACUUGAUGUCUUCAAGAAGGCAUUGCUUUUAGGAGCUGUGUUUUUAAUCGACUUCAACUACUUCGAAAGAAACAGAAACCAGUAAAUCACCAAGGAUUGCCUCGACAAGGGAAAAUGACAUGACACAUUACAAAUGAGGAUCCCAUCAUAUAUCUAUAUUGUCUCCAGGAUGUACUAUCCCAUCUUUUACUUUUAUGGACUCCAAAGAAUGACAGUAUACAGUGUAUAUUAAUGUAAUUUUGACUUGAUGCAAAAAAAUUUAUCCAGUUUACGCAUUAGAAAUGAUAUUUUAAGAGAGAAAUCUGCAUUUUUUAACUUCCGUGAUGUGUGUUUUAUGAUCUAUUUGUUUUUAAAGACAAAAGGCCAUUUUACCAGUUAUACAGUUGAUUUUCAGUAUUCAUUUACAGUGUAGCAACGUGCAGGAUAGUUCUUAAUAUCCUCCAACUGUUUCUUCCAAUGCAAGUGGACUGUAAUGUACUGGCAAAGUAGCUUUGUUAUUAACUCAGUAUUUUGUACGUGAACACUGUAGAUUCCUUAUUUAAUGCAAGUACUUAAUUCUGCGAUUCAACCUGUUUGGCAUCAAAUUGUGUGAAUAUAAAAUUGCAAACGCCAAAACUUUAUCUUAGUUUCCUUUAGUUUAAGUUUAGUUAUGUCCGAAAAAUAAAAGAGAGAUUUAAAAUCCUGCGAGAUAUUCUUCGCCCAGUUUAACCCAGAUAUAAUUAAUUCCUUGCAUUUAAUUAGGAAUCUACAGUAAUAUAUAUAUGCUAACUAAUUGUGUAAGAUAAAAACUCAGUUUAAUCUGUUAUGUCAAUAGAAUUUGCCUUGUCGAAUUUACAUGCUAAGUAUGAAUUACAUUUUAUUUUCAUAUUUUAGAUAUUGGCAUUCAUAUAGCCUUUUUUAAUUCUCUGUAGAAAACUCUAUGAUUUGUUGAUUCUUUUUUCAAGUUCAUGUUAUGCAUGAAGCAUAUAUGCCAACAGUUUUUGUACUCGAGUUUUACAAGUAAAAAUGCUAGUUUUAAACUACCGGUAUAUAUAUAUGUGGAAUGCAAUUUCUAUUUAUUCAUUUUACUCUAAUGGCCAUGUACAUGUAUAUACAAUUCUUAAAUCGGUACUGACACCAUGUGAUUGUGUAAGAUAGCUUUAGAACACUCAUUAACUUACAUUUGUCUAAUGUGAUAAGUUUUGUGGCCAUACAGGACACUACAGCACAAUCAAUAGCCUCCCUGAUACCCAGUUUACUCAUCGUUUAGUUUUAUCCUUUUACCAUAUCCCUGUGUUUUAUACCUACUGAUAUAAAUCAACAUUUUUAUCGAGAUGUAUAUGUAUUGAUUCAAUUUAAAUUUGUUGUAUAAUUCUUAUUAAAUAUAGUUUCAGUU
rnacentral:misc_RNA from 1 species